AACGAACGCUGGCGGCAUGCCUAACACAUGCAAGUCGAACGAGACCUUCGGGUCUAGUGGCGCACGGGUGCGUAACGCGUGGGAACCUGCCCUUAGGUUCGGAAUAACUCCCCGAAAGGGGUGCUAAUACCGGAUAAUGUCUUCGGACCAAAGAUUUAUCGCCUUUGGAUGGGCCCGCGUUGGAUUAGCUAGUUGGUAGGGUAAAAGCCUACCAAGGCGACGAUCCAUAGCUGGUCUGAGAGGAUGAUCAGCCACACUGGGACUGAGACACGGCCCAGACUGCUACGGGAGGCAGCAGUGGGGAAUAUUGGACAAUGGGCGAAAGCCUGAUCCAGCAAUGCCGCGUGAGUGAUGAAGGCCUUAGGGUUGUAAAGCCCUUUUACCCGGGAUGAUAAUGACAGUACCGGGAGAAUAAGCUCCGGCUAACUCCGUG
rnacentral:rRNA from 1 species